rnacentral:rRNA from 1 species
CCUACGGGAGGCAGCAGUGGGGAAUAUUGGACAAUGGGCGCAAGCCUGAUCCAGCAAUGCCGCGUGAGUGAUGAAGGCCUUAGGGUCGUAAAGCUCUUUUACCAGGGAUGAUAAUGACAGUACCUGGAGAAUAAGCUCCGGCUAACUCCGUGCCAGCAGCCGCGGUAAUACGGAGGGAGCUAGCGUUGUUCGGAAUUACUGGGCGUAAAGCGUACGUAGGCGGUUAUUCAAGUCAGAGGUGAAAGCCCGGGGCUCAACCCCGGAACGGCCUUUGAAACUAGGUAGCUAGAAUCUUGGAGAGGUCAGUGGAAUUCCGAGUGUAGAGGUGAAAUUCGUAGAUAUUCGGAAGAACACCAGUGGCGAAGGCGACUGACUGGACAAGUAUUGACGCUGAGGUACGAAAGCGUGGGGAGCAAACAGGAUUAGAUACCCUGGUAGUCCACGCCGUAAACGAUGAUAACUAGCUGUUCGGGCACUUGGUGCUUGAGUGGCGCAGCUACGCAUUAAGUUAUCCGUCCGUCGGGUAGGUACGGUCGCGAAGAAUUAAACUAACAAAGGAAAGUUAGACGGACGUGAGACGUGCCGACGGACGACGACGAGGGAGUAGG